rfam:Streptomyces violaceusniger Tu 4113, complete genome.
CUUGAUCGCGCCGAGAAACAGCGGCCGGUCCUCCGGACGGUCCUGACCGUAGGUGGCCAGCACCGCCUGCGCCUC